CCUACGGGUGGCAGCAGUGGGGAAUAUUGGUCAAUGGACGAAAGUCUGAACCAGCCAAGUAGCGUGAAGGAUGACUGCCCUAUGGGUUGUAAACUUCUUUUAUAAGGGAAUAAAACGAGGCACGUGUGCCUUUUUGCAUUUACUUUAUUAAUAAGGAUCGGCUACCUCCGUGCCAGCCGCCCCGGUCAUACGGAGGAGCCGAGCGUUAUCCGGAUUUAUUGGGUUGUAAGGGAGCGUAGAUGGGUUGUUAGGUCAGUUGUGAAAGUUUUCGGCUCAACCGUACAAUUGCAAUUGAUACUGGCAGUCUUGAGUACAGUUGAGGUAGGCGGAAUUCGUGGUGUAGCGGUGAAAUGCUUAGAUAGCACGAAGAACCCCGAUUGCGAAGGCAGCUUACUAAACUGUGACUGACAUUGAUGCUCGAAAGUGUGGGUAUCAAACAGGAUUAGAUACCCCAGUAGUC
rnacentral:rRNA from 1 species